AGUAACUGCGAGUGAAGCGGGAAAAGCUCAAAUUUAAAAUCUGGCAGAUGUUUGUCUGUCUGAGUUGUAACCUAGAGAAGUGUAACCUGUGCUGGACCGUGUACAAGUCUCCUGGAAUGGAGCAUCAUAGAGGGUGAGAAUCCCGUCUUUGACAUGGACUACCAGUGCACUGUGGUUGCACACUCAACGAGUCGAGUUGUUUGGGAAUGCAGCUCUAAAUGGGUGGUAAAUUCCAUCUAAAGCUAAAUAUUGGCGAGAGACCGAUAGCGAACAAGUACCGUGAGGGAAAGAUGAAAAGAACUUUGGAAAGAGAGUUAAACAGUAUGUGAAAUUGUUGAAAGGGAAACGCUUGAAGUCAGCUGCAUUAGCUGGGGAUCAAGCCAGCUAUUUUGCUGGGUGUACUUCCUGGUUGAUGGGCCAACAUCAGUUUUGACCAUCAGAGAAAGGCUAAGGGAAUGUGGCACCUUUAUAGGUGUGUUAUAGCCCUUGGUUGUAUGUGAUGGUUGGGACUGAGGACAGCAGCGUGCCGCAAGGCCGGGCUUUGACCACGUUCACGCUUUGGAUGUUGGCAUAAUGGCUUUAAGCGACCCGUCUUGAAACACGGACCAAGGAGUCUAACAUGCAUGCGAGUGUUUGGGUGGAAAACUCGAGCGCGUAAUGAAAGUGACAGUUGAGAUCCCUCUCACAGGGGAGCAUCGACGCCCGGACCAGAACUUUUGGGACGGAUCUGCGGUAGAGCAAGCAUGUUGGGACCCGAAAGAUGGUGAACUAUGCCUGAAUAGGGUGAAGCCAGAGGAAACUCUGGUGGAGGCUCGUAGCGAUUCUGACGUGCAAAUCGAUCGUCGAAUUUGGGUAU
rnacentral:rRNA from 1 species